ensembl:snoRNA
CCUGCCGUUAGGGUGUUGCCCGUGUGGCUCAGUGUCACAUGUGCCUCACCAGGUGGGAGAGAGAAAAGAGGUCGAGAAUACUAUGCUGAGUGUGCCUACCUAUGCACACCUCAAUGAUUGGUCCAACACU